GGGUUGCUGAUGCCUACUCUAUUGCCUUCCUGUGAGGGAUAACCUUUGGAAACAAUGGAUAAUACCCCACAAGGCCUGUGGGCCAAAGAUUGGGACCUUUUGACCUCUCUCGUCAAGAUAUGCCAUGUUGGGAUUAGCUUGUUGGUGAGGUAAUGGCUCACCAAGGCGACGAUCCCUAGGUGGUCUGAGAGGAUGAUCCUCCACCCUGGAACUGACUCCCGGUCCAGACUCCUACGGGAGGCUUGCUGGGGAAUAUUGCACAAUGGGCGAAAGCCUGAUGCAACCAUGCCGCGUGAAUGAAUAAGGCCUUCGGGUUGUAAAGUACUUUCAGUUGUGAGGAAGGGGGUAACGUUAAUACCGUUAUCUCUUGACGUUAGCAACCGAAGAAUCACCGGCUAACUCCGUGCCUCCAGCCGCGGUGAUACGGAGGGUGCCAGCGUUAAUCUGAAUUACUGGGCGUAAAACGCAGGCGCGUGGUUCAUUAACUCAGAUGUGAACGCCCGGGGCUCAACCUCGGAACUGCAUUUGAAACUGGUGAACUAGAGUGCUGUAGAGGGGGGUAGAAUUUCAGGUGUAGCGGUGAAAUGCCGUACAGAUCUGAAGGAAUACCAGCUGGCGAAGGCGGCCCCCUGGACAGACAAUGACAAUCAGAUGAGAAAGCGUGGGGAGCAAACAGGAUUUGAUACCCUGGUAGUCCACGCCGUAAACGAUCUCUACUUGGAGGUUGCGUCCCUGAGCUUUGGCUUUCGGAGCUAACGCGUUAAGUAGACCGCCUGGGGAGUACGGUCGCAAGGAUUAAAACUCAAAUGAAUUGACGGGGGCCCGCACAAGCGGUGGAGCAUGUGGUUUAAUUCGAUGCAACGCGAAGAACCUUACAUACUCUUGACAUCCAGAGAAGCCAGCGGAGACGCAGGUGUGCCUUCGGGAACUGGGAGACAGGUGGUGCAUGGCUGUCGUCAGCUCGUUUUGUGAAAUGUUGGGUUAAGUCCCGCAACGAGCGCAACCCUUAUCCUUGUUUGCCAGCGAGUAAUGUCGGGAACUCCAGGGAGACUGCCGGUGAUAAACCGGAGGAAGGUGGGGACGACGUCAAGUCAUCAUGGCCCUUACGAGUAGGGUUACACCCGUGUUCCAAUGGCGCAUACAGAGGGCAGCAAGCUAGGGAUAGUGAGUGAAUCCCAAAAAGUGGUUUCUAGUCCGGAUUGGGUUUUGCAAUUGGACUCCAUGAAUUCGGAAUCGUUAGUAAUC
rnacentral:rRNA from 1 species